UGAACGCUAGCGGCAGGCCUAAUACAUGCAAGUCGAGGGGCAGUUACACUUUCGGGUGUAAGCGACCGGCGCACGGGUGCGUAACGCGUAUGCAACCUACCCACAACAGGGGGAUAGCCCGGAGAAAUCCGGAUUAAUACCCCAUAAUGCAUUGCUAUUGCAUAGUAGUAAUUGCUAAAGCUUUCGAGUGGUUGUGGAUGGGCAUGCGUCUGAUUAGUUAGUUGGUGUGGUAACGGCACACCAAGACAACGAUCAGUAGGGGGUCUGAGAGGAUGAUCCCCCACACUGGUACUGAGACACGGACCAGACUCCUACGGGAGGCAGCAGUAGGGAAUAUUGGGCAAUGGGCGAGAGCCUGACCCAGCCAUGCCGCGUGCAGGAUGAAGGCCUUCUGGGUUGUAAACUGCUUUUAUAAGGGAAGAAAACGUUCCUGCGGGAAUAACUGACGGUACCUUAUGAAUAAGCACCGGCUAACUCC
rnacentral:rRNA from 1 species